rnacentral:rRNA from 1 species
CAGCCGCCACGGUAAUACGUAGGGUGCGAGCGUUAAUCGGAAUUACUGGGCGUAAAGCGUGCGCAGGCGGUUUUGUAAGACAGGCGUGAAAUCCCCGGGCUCAACCUGGGAAUGGCGCUUGUGACUGCAAAGCUAGAGUGCGGCAGAGGGGGAUGGAAUUCCGCGUGUAGCAGUGAAAUGCGUAGAUAUGCGGAGGAACACCGAUGGCGAAGGCAAUCCCCUGGGCCUGCACUGACGCUCAUGCACGAAAGCGUGGGGAGCAAACAGGAUUAGAUACCCCUGUAGUCCCUGUCUCUUAUAA